CGUUUCCUUCGCCAGAUACGCCCGCCCCGCUCCAACCCUCUUCUCCUCCUCACGUACGGCACCUCCUUUCUCCUCCCUCUCCCUCUCUCUCUCAGACCCACUGGCGGCGGAGACUGGAGGCAGAACACUGCACGCGCCGGCCGGCGAGGAGGAGCUGCACUGUCGCCGGCGCACCAACUGCGUCUACUGCCUCGCCUCCCCGUUGACCUACAAGAAGGUAUAUUCCCACAUUGAACUGAAUUAUUGCUAUAUUCGGUUGAUUCAGACAUAUUGUAUCUUCAAUGGCUUUCACUGCUGGGCAAAAUCAAGCGAUGGAAGGCCUUGUGGUUGUCGUUCCCAUGGCUGUGCCGUUCACGUUUAUGCAGGGUUUAAAGUUUGAUGUAGGAUGAGCACACAAGUUUGAUGUUUGCAGUUACAGAUUUUUGUCAAAGCCCGCUGAAACGAAGUUUAGUUCAGCAGACCAUGUAUGUUGGAAGAAAGCAAAUUUCUUGCCUUCUGAAUCCUCCGUAGCCAUCAUAUUUUAUUUCAGACCGAAUUGUCCCAGCUCAGUGUAUCUCAGCGAAGUAGCGGGUUCAUGCAAGGCCUGGCCGACGGCAACGACUUUAGGGGCUGCCGUGAUUUGCAUACUUCAUCUAGGUAAAUUGUGCUAGCUUUCAGAUUAUUCAUUUUCGUUUUACCCUGUCAAAGAUCUUCUCAGAUUAGUUAACCAAGCUAUGUAAUGAUGGUGUUGUGAUUCCGAGGGCUCCGUUGGAGGAUCAGCUUUGGUUCAGAGGCAGGUUUUGGGCAUACCGCAGCACAAGCAGAGGCAUAUCUCAGUCGAUGCUACUGCAGUUGAUGAUGCCCUGAAGCUUCCUUCAGUAACUGGUAUCACCUGACGUCGGUGUGGUUUUGUGUUCAGAGAAGAUGAGCUGUUGUAUUCUUCUUUCAUAUAGUUGUUGCAGGUUCUUCCAGAUCUAAAUCCAUAGACAAAGCACUGAUUGUUUGCUCUCUUGGGAGUUGUUAUAAUUUGCACAGCUAUUUUUUAAGAUUCAUUUUGCUUACAUUUAUUUAGUGAAGCUCCUGCAAAAGUCAAUAUUCAUUUAGUAUAGCACAAUUUUAUUGGCAGCUAUACAUGGCUUUGCAUCCCAAGUUAAAUGUUAAGUUUGCUUGACCUUGUGGCCUAGAUGGGUAUUGUUAAGCAUUUUUCCCUAAAAAGGGCAAUUCCUUAUUCAUAGGAUAUAUUGAAUUCACUGCACAUUGGUACAUCGCGUGAAAUCUGUAAUCAAAUGUUACUCGUAUUGCAUAUUGAUUGUUUUUGUGCAGGCUUGUACGCUUGAUUUUAUUUCAAGAUUUGUUGGUAUUCUUCUUAGAUGAGACAACCAGUGGAUCAAUGUGCCUGCUUUAAGUAUAGUGAUGAAACUUCACACUUCCCUGCAGACUCAGCGUGCCGCUGUUCUCUAAGGUCGUUGAGUGCUGAGAACAGGCAAUAUAAUUAGGCUUUUAACGAGAAGUUGGAGGAGAUAAAAACUUUCAGGAAGUGUUUAGGCGAGUUCCAUGCCGAAAAUAAUGUUAUGUGAGCAGAGAGUGCAGGCUUGUGCUCUUCUGUUGAAGAGCUUGAGCAUGAGAGAUUGAAUUAACACAUAAGUCAUGAGAGCAUAUCUUUAGACGAGGAGAGGUGACUGGUCAAAGAAAUUAAGACCCUUGAAAAAACCAGACCGAGGGUCAGUUCCAAUGCUGCUAAGCAAGCUAAAAUGGAAGAUAUAGUGGUUGAGAGAGAUGCCAUACAGGAUCAGGUGAAAAUCAUCAUACAUGGAGUAAAGGAGGGAGAAGCAGCCAUGUCUAAGAUUAAGGUCCUGGACGAUGAGGCGAUGGGCGUGGAGAGCUGCUACGAGCUCGCGCAGGCGGCAUACGUCAACCUCGCGCUGCACACGCUCAAGCACCUGGCGCCCGUCGUCAAUGGGCUCCUCGUCCAUGAUUAGCUGGACAACAUGAACCUCGAGGAGGUUGUGAAGGGGAACAUCUGUGACGCCGUUCUUUAGGUCUUUGGGAGUUUGCUAGCAGUCCUGGUCAGACUUGGACCAGGGACUAGCGUCCUGGAUGCCUUGGCACGCUCUGCUCCACCGGUGUUGCAAGCCCAGGAGCUCUGUCAUUGCAUUAAAGGAGAGGGAAAAACUGUACAUUUUAGAGCUUACAAGGGGAGCAGAAGGUAACCCACUAACAACGAGAGACAGUAGGCAAGAAAAAACAGCGGCAGAUUACACUCUGAAAGCCUCCCUGAAUAGACUAAUGUCAUCAAUCACCAGCAUGUAAAUUUGAUGAGGCAACAACAGCUUGUGUUGGAA